AACGAACGCUGGCGGCAGGCCUAACACAUGCAAGUCGAGCGCGCCCUUCGGGGUGAGCGGCGGACGGGUGAGUAACGCGUGGGAACGUGCCCUUUUCUACGGAAUAGCCUCGGGAAACUGAGAGUAAUACCGUAUACGCCCUUUGGGGGAAAGAUUUAUCGGAAAAGGAUCGGCCCGCGUUGGAUUAGGUAGUUGGUGGGGUAAUGGCCUACCAAGCCGACGAUCCAUAGCUGGUUUGAGAGGAUGAUCAGCCACACUGGGACUGAGACACGGCCCAGACUCCUACGGGAGGAAGCAGUGGGGAAUCUUAGACAAUGGGGGCAACCCUGAGCUAGCCAUGCCGCGUGAGUGAUGAAGGCCUUAGGGUUGUAAAGCUCUUUCAGCUGGGAAGAUAAUGACGGUACCAGCAGAAGAAGCCCCGGCUAACUCCGUG
rnacentral:rRNA from 1 species